AAGGUGGCAUUCAAUUUUUUUAAACAAAGAGAAAGAAAGGAGGAGCACGACUUCAUUCAAGAGCACACAAUGCCAAUUUCCCUCCUCUAAAACCCUCUUCAGUAGCAAAUCGAUCAUCUUGGAACAGUUCUUUGAUACAUAAUGUUCAGAAAAAUCGUUUCUUUCCCCUCAAAGUCGAAAUCAAGAAGAUUUGUACCCAUACCACUUAAUUCCACCAACUAUUGCUACUGCCCUCCUUCAGCACCACUUUCUUUAUCAUCAAAACGUGUUUCUCCCAGACGAAGUUCGUUUGAGAUCAUCACUCCAACUUCGUUGAAGGGUUUCAAUCGAUCUUUUUCAUCUGGGUACCGUUUAAAUUGGACGCAAUAUGGAGGGCUUAAUAUGCAUAGAAGUGGGUUUGCAGUUUUGGGGAGAAGGAGAUUCAGUAGCGAAACAGCCCGUGAGUCGAUUAAUUAUGACGUGGUUAUCGUCGGAGGAGGGCCUUCUGGGUUAUCGGCGGCGAUAAGAUUGAAGCAAUUGUGCCGUGAAAAUGAUGUAGACUUAUCUGUGUGCGUUGUCGAGAAAGGGGCCGAAGUGGGUGCAAAUAUAUUAUCGGGAAACGUUUUUGAGCCCCGUGCAUUGAAUGAACUUAUUCCAAAUUGGAGAGAGGAGGAGGCACCAAUUAGCGUCGGUGUUUCUUCUGACAAGUUCAUGUUGCUUACGAAAAAGCAUGCAAUCUCUCUACCAAAUCCUUUUGAUAACAGAGGAAACUAUGUUAUAAGUUUAAGUCAGUUUGCUCGGUGGUUGGGACAAAAGGCUGAAGAAUUAGGUGUUGAGAUAUACCCAGGCUUUGCAGCUAAAGAGGUUUUAUUUGAUGAAAGUGAAAAUGUUAUUGGCAUUGCAACUAACGACAUGGGAAUUGGCAAGGAUGGUUCUAAGAAAGAUAAUUAUCAGCCUGGUGUGGAAUUAAAAGGGCGUAUAAAUCUUUUUGCUGAAGGUUGUCGAGGUUCACUGUCAGAGAAAAUAAUUAGAAAAUACAAUCUCAGAGAGAAAGGGCAAGGGCAACACCAAACUUACGCUAUAGGAAUUAAAGAGGUUUGGGAAAUCGAUGCCAGCAAACAUAAACCUGGUGCGGUGCUUCAUACUUUAGGGUGGCCCUUGGAUCACAAGACUUACGGGGGAUCUUUUUUAUACCACAUGCAAGAUAGACAGGUUUCCAUUGGACUGGUGUGUGCCUUGAAUUACCACAACCCGUUCUUUAAUCCUUAUGAAGAAUUCCAGAAACUCAAAUCUCAUCCUGCCAUCAGGCCUCUUCUUGAAAAUGGAACAGUUGUCCAGUAUGGUGCUCGGACCUUGAAUGAAGGCGGUUUUCAGUCUAUUCCGUAUCCAGUGUUCCCUGGGGGAGCAAUUGUUGGCUGUGCAGCUGGCUUCUUAAAUGUUCCAAAAAUAAAGGGUACGCAUACCGCCAUGAAAUCAGGAAUGCUAGCAGCGGAAUCUGCAUUUGGAGUACUUCAUGAGGGCUCAAAUAUGAAAACCUACUGGGAAAACUUGAAAGAUUCAUGGAUAUGGGAAGAGCUCCGCCGUGCACGGAACUACCGCCCAGCAUUUGAGUAUGGGCUUUUUCCUGGUAUGGCUAUAAGUGGUCUGGAACAUUAUUUACUGAAAGGAAGAGUCCCGUUUACUCUGAAGCAUGGAAAACCGGAUCAUGAGGCAACACAUAUUUUCACAAUUAUACACAGGAAGCAAGUAAAUGCUCCCCGAUUGAAUACCCAAAGCCAGAUGGGAUUGUUAGUUUCGAUGUACCAACCUCCCUGUACAGGAGCAACACAAAUCAUGAUCAUGACCAACCAGCUCACCUUCGCUUGAGGGACUCUAAAAUUCCUGAAGCUGUAAAUUUGCCAAAAUAUGGUGGUCCAGAAUCACGAUAUUGCCCUGCUCGUGUAUAUGAGUAUAUCGCGGAUGACAAGGGUCAAUUGAAGCUGCAGAUUAAUGCUCAGAAUUGCUUGCACUGCAAGGCUUGUGAUAUCAAAGAUCCGAAGCAGAACAUUGAAUGGACAGUUCCCGAAGGCGGAGGAGGCCCUGGCUACUCAGUAAUGUAAAAAAAUUCUGGAAACUGAAGCUUCCCGUUUACUCCAAUAGAAGCAAGUAGCUUCAUUCCGUGGAAAUCAAGAAAGCAGAACUAGUGGAAUCUCAUAUACAUCUAACAUUUCGAAGGAACUUAGAAUUCAAUACUAGUUAAAGAUUUGUCCUUUGAUGAAUUCUAGUUCGUAUCUGGAUGACAUUAGGGUACAUUACAUAUGAAUAAGCUUGAUAUAUUCAUUUAGUUGAUUUUUUUGAUGAU